rnacentral:rRNA from 1 species
UACGAAGGGGGCUAGCGUUGUUCGGAUUUACUGGGCGUAAAGCGCAUGUAGGCGGGCCGUUAAGUUGGGGGUGAAAGCCCGGAGCUCAACUCCGGAAUUGCCUUCAAAACUGGCGGCCUGGAGCAAGAUAGAGGCGAGUGGAAUUCUUGGUGUAGCGGUGAAAUGCGUAGAUAUCAAGAGGAACACCUGAGGUGAAGACGGGUUGCUGGGCUGACACUGACGCUGAGGCGCGAAAGCUAGGGUAGCAAACGGG